rnacentral:rRNA from 1 species
UACGUAGGGUGCGAGCGUUAAUCGGAAUUACUGGGCGUAAAGCGUGCGCAGGCGGUUCGCCAAGUCAGGUGUGAAAUCCCCGGGCUUAACCUGGGAAUUGCGCUUGAAACUAGCGGGCUUGAGUGUGGCAGAAGGGGGUGGAAUUCCACGUGUAGCAGUGAAAUGCGUAGAGAUGUGGAGGAACACCGAUGGCGAAGGCAGCCCCCUGGGUCAACACUGACGCUCAUGCACGAAAGCGUGGGGAGCAAACAGG